AGAGUUUGAUCCUGGCUCAGAUUGAACGCUGGCGGCAUGCCUUACACAUGCAAGUCGAACGGUAACGCGGGGGCAACCCUGGCGACGAGUGGCGAACGGGUGAGUAAUACAUCGGAACAUAUCCAGUAGCGGGGGAUAACCUAUCGAAAGAUGGACUAAUACCGCAUACGAUCUACGGAUGAAAGCAGGGGACCGCAAGGCCUUGCACUAUUGGAGUGGCCGAUGUCGGAUUAGCUAGUUGGUGGGGUAAAGGCUUACCAAGGCGACGAUCCGUAGCUGGUCUGAGAGGACGAUCAGCCACACUGGAACUGAGACACGGUCCAGACUCCUACGGGAGGCAGCAGUGGGGAAUUUUGGACAAUGGGCGCAAGCCUGAUCCAGCCAUGCCGCGUGAGUGAAGAAGGCCUUCGGGUUGUAAAGCUCUUUCGGUGAAGACGAAACGGUUAGCGCUAAUAACGCUGACUAAUGACGGUACUCACAGAAGAAGCACCGGCUAACUACGUGCCAGCAGCCGCGGUAAUACGUAGGGUGCAGGCGUUAAUCGGAAUUACUGGGCGUAAAGCGUGCGCAGGCGGUUUGCUAAGACAGGUGUGAAAUCCCCGAGCUUAACUUGGGAAUUGCGCUUGUAACUGGCAAGCUAGAGUGUGGCAGAGGGGGGUGGAAUUCCACGUGUAGCAGUGAAAUGCGUAGAUAUGUGGAGGAACACCGAUGGCGAAGGCAGCCCCCUGGGUUAACACUGACGCUCAUGCACGAAAGCGUGGGGAGCAAACAGGAUUAGAUACCCUGGUAGUCCACGCCCUAAACUAUGUCAACUAGUUGUCGGGGAAGAAAUUCCUUGGUAACGAAGCUAACGCGUGAAGUUGACCGCCUGGGGAGUACGGCCGCAAGGUUAAAACUCAAAGGAAUUGACGGGGACCCGCACAUGCGGUGGAUUAUGUGGAUUAAUUCGAUGCAACGCGAAAAACCUUACCUACCCUUGACAUGCUAGGAAGCCCGCAGAGAUGUGGGUGUGCCCGAAGGGAACCUAGACACAGGUGCUGCAUGGCUGUCGUCAGCUCGUGUCGUGAGAUGUUGGGUUAAGUCCCGCAACGAGCGCAACCCUUGCCAUUAGUUGCUACAUUUAGUUGGGCACUCUAAUGGGACCGCCGGUGACAAACCGGAGGAAGGUGGGGAUGACGUCAAGUCCUCAUGGCCCUUAUGGGUAGGGCUUCACACGUAAUACAAUGGUCGGUACAGAGGGCUGCCAACCCGCAAGGGGGAGCUAAUCCCAGAAAACCGAUCGUAGUCCGGAUUGUAGUCUGCAACUCGACUGCAUGAAGCCGGAAUCGCUAGUAAUCGCGGAUCAGCAUGUCGCGGUGAAUACGUUCCCGGGUCUUGUACACACCGCCCGUCACACCAUGGGAGUGGGUUCCACCAGAAGUAGUUAGCCUAACCGCAAGGAGGGCGAUUACCACGGUGAGAUUCAUGACUGGGGUGAAGUCGUAACAAGGUA
rnacentral:rRNA from 1 species